ACAACAUGUCUUUUAGAAAAUAAUUUAAAGUCUAAUCUGCCCACUGAUAUUAUAUUAAAGGGCUGCAGUAUAUUGACUGUACAAAGGUAGCAUAAUCAUUAGUCUUUUAAUUGAAGACUUGUAUGAAAGAUUUGAUGAAAUAUAAACUGUCUCUAAUUUAAAAAUAGAAAUUAAUUUUUUAGUUAAAAAGCUAAAAUUUAUUUAAAAGACGAGAAGACCCUAUAGAGUUUUACAUUAUUUUUAUUUAAGAUUAUAUGUAUAAAUAAUAAUUAAAAAUAAAAAUAAUGUUUUAUUGGGGUGAUAGAAAAAUUUAAUUAACUUUUUUUAAAAAUUAAACAUAAAUAAGUGAAAAUAUGAUCCAUAAGUUAUGAUUAUAAGAAAAAAUUACCUUAGGGAUAACAGCGUAAUAUUUUUUUUUAGUACAAAUAAAAAAAAAAGUUUGCGACCUCGAUGUUGGAUUAAGAUAAAAUUUAAAUGCAAAAGUUUAAAAUUUUGAUCUGUUCGAUCAUUAAAAUCUUACAUGAUCU
rnacentral:rRNA from 1 species